GCAGUUCUCAAACCGAGGCCUGCAUCAGUUACCUGGAGGGCUCACUCAACAGAUUACUGGACCCAGUACUUCUAAUUCAAGAGCACUAUUUGGAAACAUAAGACCGCUCUGUAACAAGAAGGCAGCAGAAGAAAGAAGCCCUGGAUUCUCUAAGUCAAGGACUCAGUACCCUAGUCGUCUGUUAAUGUGUGCCCUCAUUACUCCACUCACUAUUCAACCGCAAUCCCCCAACCCUGAAGUUUCGAUCUUUCUUCCCUACUUUCAUCAGGAACACUAUCCAGCUUAUCCAAUGUUUGAUAAUACUAACAGAAGCAGAAGAUGUUAAGAGGUGGCAAGAAUACACAGAAGAACUAUACAA